AUUGAACGCUGGCGGCAUGCCUUACACAUGCAAGUCGAACGGCAGCACGGGGGCAACCCUGGUGGCGAGUGGCGAACGGGUGAGUAAUACAUCGGAACGUGUCCUCUUGUGGGGGAUAACCAGUCGAAAGAAUGGCUAAUACCGCAUGAGAUCGCAAGAUGAAAGCAGGGGACCCCGAGGGCAACUUCGGGGCCUUGCGCGAGAGGAGCGGCCGAUGUCCGAUUAGCUAGUUGGUGGGGUAAAAGCCUACCAAGGCGACGAUCGGUAGCUGGUCUGAGAGGACGACCAGCCACACUGGGACUGAGACACGGCCCAGACUCCUACGGGAGGCAGCAGUGGGAAUUUUGGACAAUGGGGGCAACCCUGAUCCAGCCAUGCCGCGUGUGUGAUGAAGGCCUUCGGUUGUAAG
rnacentral:rRNA from 1 species